rnacentral:rRNA from 1 species
GACGAACGCUGGCGGCGUGCUUAACACAUGCAAGUCGAACGGAAAGGCCCUGCUUUUGUGGGGUGCUCGAGUGGCGAACGGGUGAGUAACACGUGAGUAACCUGCCCUUGACUUUGGGAUAACUUCAGGAAACUGGGGCUAAUACCGGAUAGGAGCUCCUGCUGCAUGGUGGGGGUUGGAAAGUUUCGGCGGUUGGGGAUGGACUCGCGGCUUAUCAGCCUGUUGGUGGGGUGGUGGCUUACCAAGGCUUUGACGGGUAGCCGGCCUGAGAGGGUGACCGGCCACAUUGGGACUGAGAUACGGCCCAGACUCCUACGGGAGGCAGCAGUGGGGAAUAUUGCACAAUGGGCGGAAGCCUGAUGCAGCAACGCCGCGUGCGGGAUGACGGCCUUCGGGUUGUAAACCGCUUUCGCCUGUGACGAAGCGUGAGUGACGGUAAUGGGUAAAGAAGCACCGGCUAACUACGUG